rnacentral:snRNA from 1 species
AUGCUCGCUUUGGCAGCACAUAUACUAUAAUUGGAAUGAUACAGAGAAGAUUAGCAUGGCCCCUGCACAAGGAUGACACACAAAUUCGUGAAGCAUUCCAUAUUUAA